rfam:Mycobacterium heraklionense strain Davo contig_13, whole genome shotgun sequence.
CAGGUUCCGGUUCACGUCUGCCACAUGGCAGGCGACCCGGCGGCC